UACGAAGGAUCCAAGCGUUGUCCGGAUUUACUGGGUUUAAAGGGUGCGUAGGCGGGUUAUUAAGUCAGUGGUGAAAGCUUGCAGCUUAACUGUAAAAUUGCCAUUGAAACUGAUAAUCUUGAAUAUGGUUGAGGUAGUUGGAAUGUAUCAUGUAGCGGUGAAAUGCUUAGAUAUGAUACAGAACACCGAUUGCGAAGGCAGAUUACUAAACCAUUAUUGACGCUGAGGCACGAAAGCGUGGGGAUCAAACAGG
rnacentral:rRNA from 1 species